rnacentral:tRNA from 1 species
GUCCCUAUCGUCUAGAGGCCUAGGACAUCGCCCUUUCACGGCGGUAACCGGGGUUCGAAUCCCC